rnacentral:rRNA from 1 species
AAACUCAAAUGAAUUGACGGGGACCCGCACAAGCGGUGGAUGAUGUGGUUUAAUUCGAUGCAACGCGAAAAACCUUACCCACCUUUGACAUGGCAGGAAUCCCGAAGAGAUUUGGGAGUGCUCGAAAGAGAACCUGCACACAGGUGCUGCAUGGCUGUCGUCAGCUCGUGUCGUGAGAUGUUGGGUUAAGUCCCGCAACGAGCGCAACCCUUGCCAUUAGUUGCUACGAAAGGGCACUCUAAUGGGACUGCCGGUGACAAACCGGAGGAAGGUGGGGAUGACGUCAAGUCCUCAUGGCCCUUAUAGGUGGGGCUACACACGUCAUACAAUGGUCGGUACAGAGGGUUGCCAAGCCGCGAGGUGGAGCCAAUCCCAGAAAGCCGAUCGUAGUCCGGAUCGGAAUCUGCAACUCGACUCCGUGAAGUCGGAACCGCUAGUAAUCGCGGAUCAGCAUGCCGCGGUCGAAUACGUUCCCGGGCCUU